ensembl:lncRNA
UUCUUCUUUUAUGAUACAGAGUAAUAUCUUAAGAGUUUUAUUGUUGGUCAGUAUCGUAGCUGAUAUUUUCUGGUCUUUUUCAUUUCUUCCUGUGUCCUUUGGCUGUUUUUUCAUUUCUUCCUUUGAAAUCUGAUUCUCGGGAGGUAGGGUGGACUUUGGGGCUUGACUUCUGAUGUAGGGAUUCCCUGGCACUAGGAAAUGUCUGCUCUUUCCUCAUCUGGUCUAUAUUCCUCUUCCCCAUAGUUCCUUUUUUUUGUACCAGGGAUCGAACUCGGGUCCUCGCGCUUCUGGGGCAAGCGGUGGAACCACUGAGCUAAAUCCCCAGCCCUUCCUCAUUGUUCUUAAGAGUCUAGGGCACAAGCACAGGAGUGAGACAGGAAAGCUGGCUAGAACUGGCCUCAGAAUCAGGAUGGCACACAGGCUGCUUGAGCUCCUGCCCCACACCUUCCAGAGAUCUGAAGGGACUGAGUUUUCUCAUCCCCCAGACCCCUUCCAAGUCCUUACUGGCCCAAAUGUUCUCACAUCCCCUGCCCUACGCUCCUCUCCCACCAGUUGGACCUGAAGGCCAGAGCAUGUUCAGGUUCUUGCAUACCUCAGAAGAACAUGCUGGACCUCAGAUCUCAACUUUUUUCAGUUCCUCAUUUCAGUCCAUUUCUAACCACCUCACUGAAAGAGUGGCCAGACACCCCAUAGCCUACACAGAAGGGAUGCUCCCAGAAUCGGCUGUCUCAUCCCCCUUCCCUUUCCAGCUGCUGGCUCCAUGAGAGUCCUUGCAAAGAUCGUGGUACUUUUCCAGUUUCCACCUCUCCAAGGCUUGGAGAGUUCUUGGAUCAUCCUGAUAAUUAAUUCCUUGUCAGAUAGGCAGACGACAUCUCACUGAGCAGGAUCUUUAAGGGAAAGUGAUCUCCAUCCAUCCACUCUUGCAGGAUGAUAAAGAAGGGCCAGGGAAUCUCCAGUCUGCAUUCAUCCCGGCUUUGAUCUACCACUUGCCUCCCUAUCAGCCGUGGGGCUCUGGGCUCUGCCCAGUAGCAGAGAUUUGACCCAAACCAGGACCCCCAGAAAGCAGUGAACCAUCCUCACCAGCUCAAUCCCAAGAGGAAGCCAACCCAAGUUCAUUGUUAUUAUUCUGGACCAUGACCCUAAGCAGUUUCCCACCCCCAAAAGUCCUGCUGAUCUGAUUCAAACCAGAGACAAAUAGAACAGACAAGAUUAAAAACAAAAACAAAAAACUUUUGCAUAAGAAGAACAAAACCAAAAAAUUACCUCCCAAUAGUUUCCCAGGUUCAGUGCCCAGAUAAGCAAACACGCCUGCCUGUGGUUGUCCUCAUUACGAAAAAGGUUGGUUGUAUAGCCUGGGUUUCCAUCCACAGUCCCUGAUGCUAUCUUAACCUGGGUUUUCUGCUGAACUUUCCAAGAAACUGAGCUCCUGAAGAAUCCAUUUUGGAAGGGGCUAUUAUUAGAGCAAACUCAUCUAGCUCUUCACUUCUAACCCUAACUUUAUUUUUCCCAGCAAGGGUGCUGAAAAGAUCCCCUAAAGCCUGGCCAGGAUGGGGUAGAGUAGAGCAGUUGAGCUGAAGAAGAAGCCCCCCAUCUUCCAGAUGGCUGCACCCACGCAGGUCCCUGUCAUUUUCUCUUGCAUGAGAGGGACAGGGAAGUCAAUUUCAGCUCAAAUUAAGGAAGUCCGUCUAACAGGUUGGGGUGUCUACCCAUGAAGCCCAUUGCAUGGCGGGUAAUGAGCUUUCAUCCCUUCCCCACAAGUAUUUAAAGGGAGCCUGCUUCGUGUACAAAGUGGUAUUGCAAAGUAUUCUUAGCCUUGCAUGGAAACUGGACUGAAAAAUGAGGGAAAUUCUCUCUGCUUCCUGGUUGUGUGUGUGUGUGUGUGUGUGUGUGUGUUGUACAUUCUGGGCACAGCCUUAAGGCAAGGAUGGAGCAUAGUUAGCAGGAGCUCAGGUUCUAGGACUUGGAGCCCUCACGGGGGAUGCCAAAGCAGGAAGGUAGCAGGGCACCCUGGUUCCAUCCCACUCCCUGCCUCGCACUCUGUCAACACCCUGCCAGCCCAACCCCAGGGACCUAAUAGGGACCACACUGGGAUGGGACACAUGCGACCCUUCCCCCGGCCAGCCAAGGAGCAAUCCACAAAGUCCCCAUCUCUGGCCAACUGCCUCAUGGUGCUUCAGCCCUUCUGCCCAGAUCCUGUGCCCUCAAAGAGAUGAUGCAGUGGUCUUUUAGCACUAGCAGCCAGCCACUGCCCAGGCAAUCACAAAUGGCACCUUCCAAAGGGCUUCCUUACCACUACCCUAAAUAAAACAGGAUAUCCCAUGCAAGACCUUCAGAAAUCUCCACCCAUGAUAUGAUUUAAAAAGGCAAAAAGACAGGCAGCCAUAAUCAGCCUUACAACAAAACAAAGCUUGGGCUGUCUGUAAGAAGAGUGCCUGUACCCCCAACCCCAUAUCCCUUCCCUCCAGGCCUGGCUCCUGCUUAAUCUGCCCAGAGCCUUUGGCCUGGGGCCUCAGUUGCCUACAGUAGCUUUGGAGGAGGUGGGACUUCAACACCAGGUUGAGCCCGGGUCCAGGUGGUCUUAGGUUUAUAUAAGGUGAGACGGGCCAAUGCGUUUGGAUGGGCAGAAUGAGCAUCUGCCUUCCUCCAAAACCAAACCAAACAAAACCCAGUUUCUAAGGUCUCAUGUCAUGGAGGCUGUGCCCUGCAGAAAUUGCUCAAGAUGUAAGACUACUGUAUCAGGACAAUUUGUGAAGAUGUAGGAAACUCCCAAUUCCGUCCCAUUUGCAUGCACUCCAGCCGCCUAGGGAUCGCCUGUCACUUCCUGCCCCCUGAGCUAAGCGGGGCUGGGAUGAGUGGGCCAAAGGUUUGAAUCCGUCCUCUGCAUAGCCCUGUCUGGGGCUUGGGGCUCAACAGCCACGAGCUGGGUGUGGCAGUAAGUGAGCUGGAAACUGGCUUCUUUCUCUCCAGGUUUACCUUGACGUCAGUCUAAGGUUGAGGGCUGGGAGCCCCACUUUUUCUAUCAGGAACUCAGGAUUUCCUGCCAACAUGUCCACUUGGCACACAGUGGUCAUCCCACCUGUGUUGUGUUGCGUUUCGUGAGUGGAUGUGGGAACGAUUGAUGGAUGAGUGUGUGGGGAAGAGGGGAGUUAGUUGAGUUCUUUUCUGGCUGUUUGUGUUGCUAAUUGGGGAGAAAGGAAAAAUGGGAGCCCCCCCCCGCCACUGAAGACCAUAGAUGAUGCCCCACCAAUGGCAUCUGUUCUUGGACACGAUCUGGCACCAUAGCGACGUCCAAAUUUGACCUUUGUAGGCCCCAGCCAGAAAAGGGUUACAGCCCUCUCUCCAAGCCUCACCUCCAGGGGGCUGCAGGGGCAGCCAGCCCUGUCCCUCCUUUCCUGCCUGGCAGUUAGCUCAUGCAGCCCAUGGGAGAUCACAGAGUGGAUUUCUAGUGGGCUGAGCCAAGGGUCAAGAGUAGGGGUUUCCCUUGGUCUGGGAUUUGCUGGUGCAGGAAUGGGCACAAACAUCUAGAACUGGAGCACAUUCCCUGAGCCUCGGAGUCCAGCUGCAUGAGAGGGCUUGCCUGUCCUCCUGCUGUUAGAGCCAAUGCUCUCCUUUUAUCUGAGCCCUGAAGCCCUCCAUGACAGCAUAUGCCCCAAUGCCAUCAGCUAAUAUCCUCUGUCCCUCCCAGGAACCUGCAGUGUGAGGUUGGGGCUUUUCUGCCAGCAAAGCCAUUCUGAUCACCCCACCCAUGAUGGGGACCAAGCCAAUUACAUUAGCCAUAAACAACCAAUGUCCUCAACCACUCUUCUCGGGUUGCGUUUGUGGGUCCUGUUCAUUUUUCAGCAGUUGACUUCUCUAGUCCUUCCUGUAAUGGUGAAAAUAAGCAUUGAGCAUGCUCAUGCUCACACACACACACACACACAUGGAAACGAAACAACAAAAAUCCCGGCGUCUUUUUAUGCAUGUAGUGAGAUGAAAUUGUGAUCCUUGUGUGACCUCCAGCUCCGUCCUGUCUUGUAAAAUAUGUCCAAAUGUUUAAGAAUUUGCAAGAAAAUGGUCCCUUAAUGAAGUCUGCAGAGUUCAAUAAAAGGUAUGGAGAAAACAAGC